GAACGCACAUUGCGCCCGCCAGCAUUCUGGCGGGCAUGCCUGUUCGAGCGUCAUUUCAACCCUCGACCUCCCUUUGGGGAAGUCGGCGUUGGGGACCGGCAGCACACCGCCGGCCCUGAAAUGGAGUGGCGGCCCGUCCGCGGCGACCUCUGCGUAGUAAACCAACUCGCACCGGAACCCCGACGUGGCCACGCCGUAAAACACCCAACUUCUGAACGUUGACCUCGAAUCAGGUAGGACUACCCGCUGAACUUAAG
rnacentral:misc_RNA from 1 species